rnacentral:rRNA from 1 species
GACGAACGCUGGCGGCGUGCUUAACACAUGCAAGUCGAACGGAAAGGCCCUGCUUUUGUGGGGUUCUCGAUUGGCGAACGGGUGAGUAACACGUGAGUAACCUGCCCUUGACUUUGGGAUAACUUCAGGAAACUGGGGCUAAUACCGGAUAGGAUCUCCUGCUGCAUGGUGGGGGUUGGAAGGUUUCGGCGGUUGGGGAUGGACUCGCGGCUUAUCAGCUUGUUGGUGGGGUAGUGGCUUACCAAGGCUUUGACGGGUAGCCGGCCUGAGAGGGUGACCGGCCACAUUGGGACUGAGAUACGGACCAGACUCCUACGGGAGGCAGAAGUGGGGAAUAUUGCACAAUGGGCGGAAGCCUGAUGCAGCAACGCCGCGUGCGGGAUGACGGCCUUCGGGUUGUAAACCGCUUUCGCCUGUGACGAAGCGUGAGUGACGGUAAUGGGUAAAGAAGCACCGGCUAACUACGUG